GGGGGCGAAAUGGUUUCGACUGCCUAGGCAGAACGCGGGUCGCAUGCGGAGGAUGAUCGUUGGCCUCCUUAAUCAUCGGUCAAAAAAAUAACUGCGAACAACGAACUCGCACUCGCUGCUUAAGUACAGCGACGUCACUACCUGGAUGCCUGAUAAGGGAUAGUGGCGCACGCAUCAGGCUGGUCAUGAAGUCGUGCCGGCGGGCCGAUUGACGAGAUUCAACAGACGGAUGCUUCCUCGGAUGCGUGUGGACACCACCGACCCCGAGGACUAAGAUCGAAUCGUGUCCUAAGCAUGUAGAAGCCCUCGGGAGGUCUCUGCAGGACCGGGGUUCGACUCCCCGCGCCUCCACCA
rnacentral:tmRNA from 1 species